CCAUACGCGGGGCUUGAACUCACGAAACCGUGAGAUCAUGACCUGAGCCGAAACCAGGAGUCGGACGCUCAACUGGCUGAACCACGCAGGCGCCCCCAUAUGUAUUUUUGACUCAGUGACUCAGCAUGAUUUUCAUGGGCUUGGGUGGUCUGGCUACUUCCUGGUGGACCAGCUCCCCAUUUGAUGGGGGACACUGUUGUACAGACAGGACACCGUCUCAGGAUCAGCCGAGUGGGUGAAUGGCAGACGGCAGUCAGACGCCCUGGCUCCCACGUCCCCCUGCCUGAGCCCGCACGACACAGAAAACGCAAAGCAGAGGUGCAGACGGCACGCUGACCCGAGCCAGUCCCCGAAUGAGCACGGUCAUGGGAGACCCUCAUUCUCACGAGGAAGCGAUACGAAGCUUGUUUCCUUUUUGGCACAUCCCUCACAGUGACUUAGUGUUUUCCAGAACAUUCCAUGAUUGCUCGGGCACGAAUCUCUGCUCAGAAGGAAGGGGACAGCGGGGUUUGCAAAAGGUAGAAUGAGUGAAGAGGGAACACGUAGCAAAAGCCCCAAGGUGGCCGCGGGAAGGAAGACAAAACGGCAGCUACACCUCAGACCCUCAGAUGGGGUCGCCGCAGCCUCUGCCGCGACUCUGUCUUUCCCAAGUGGACCUGAGAAGAAGACUGCCGUCAUUCCCUGCACAGCCCCGCAGGGAGACCCAAGUUCACAUCCAGGCUCCAGCAGUCACUCGCUGUGUCGCCUUGGGUGAGACACUGAACUUCUGUGUGUCUCAGUGUCCCCAUCUGUCAAAGGGGAAUAAUAAAUGUGCCUGCCUCGUAGUGCUGUUGAGAGGCCGACAGGAGAUCGUGCCUGUGAAGUGCGUCACACGGGCCCGGACACACAGGGGCUGCCCCAUACAUGUAAGCUAUUAUGUGUCCGUUCGGUCAAGACCUGAAUUGUCUCCUAACCUCCAGGCACUGUUCUUAGUGGCCGGUAAACCGUGGUGAGGAAGACGAGAGGCUCCUGUUUCCCGGAGCUUCUGUUCCAGGGCAGGAGAGAGAUCUUAAACACACGAGCAGCAGAUGGACGAGGAUGACAAGGUCUCACUCCUUGUGGAGCCCGGACCUUUCGGCGACCGGCGAGCAGGGUUCUGAGGCUGUCCCAGACGCCGUGGCAGAAAACUGCUUCGUUGGGGAAUGAUUGACCCAGAAAAGGCUGUGCGUAUCCGGUGUAUACAACACGCGUACUACUCGAUGUGCUUGGAGUUGAGACAGCCUCUGACAUCCUCUGGACUCGUGCUGUCUUCUGAGUCCCAAAGAACUGAAAGCGGAACCCUCGUUCAAGAGCUUCCAGCAGUGGCAAGACCUCAGCCUUCAGCCGUGCCCUGUUCGGUGUAAUUACAACCGCGGUAGGAAAAUGCGUCUCAGAAAAGUCACCCUCACCGUGUGCUACCCGGUGCCCUACGCGCCCCUCUCAUUUAAUCCCCUGCACGGCAGCUUGUGGUUACCACCCCAUUUUACAGAUAAGACCAUGGGAGCUCAGAGAUCUCAACUAAGCCAGUGAGCGGGAAAACCAGAAACCAAACCCAGGUCUUUGGGACUCCAGGACCCUAACUCACGACCCCCAAACGGGGGCUCUGGGAAAUGUGUGAAAGCACAGAUGCCAGUCCCAGGCCCCUUCUCUGCCCCCAGUUCUGAUCUGUAGGUCCAGUGUCGGACUCGGGAUCAGCAUUUUUAACAAGCGCUCCAGUGGUGGGGGGCGGGGGGGCUCAGCCUCCGGGUGGGACGUCCGUCGGGCCAGUUGGCAGAGCCCCCCCCAGCUGGGGCAGGUGAGGAAGCCCCACAGUCAGAGGCGGUAGCAGCACUGGUGGGAGAGGGAAAGGCACCAAAAAAGCCCCCGAACCAAAUGCCCGAGAUGCUUCUCGUAAUGCCCCCAAAUUCCAUCAUCGACAAGUCACUUCUCUGCCAAGUUCCCCGCUCUCCCCACUUCCUCUCCAUUCAAACUCAUUUGCCUGGGUGUGCCAGACUCUGAGGAAGAGAAACUGAUUUUUACUAGGGUGUGAAUGACUUCCUUGGGUCCUCAGGGCACUGUGUUCCUUUCUUGAAUUCCCUCAGGCAUUGGCCAGAGCUGGGGCAUCCUAGGAUCUUGUCCAGAGUCCUCAGAGGAUAUAACCGAAUGCGAUUUAGGAACAAAGACUGUCUUAUCCAGGCUUCCUCCUCCUGCUAGUCACCCCCCCACCCAUCUCAGUGCUCUUUGCUCCCUCUUCCCCUUUCUCCUUAGUCAUCCUGCCCUCAGGACAGACUCUGAAUCUCAUUCACACUGUGACCUCGGUAACUGAUAACAGCUUAAGUGUGUGUGUGGGGGGGAGGUGCUCCACCAUCAGAAUGAUGAAAACCCAGAAGGCAAGAGAAGCUGGGACACUGAGGCCGAGGAAAGGUUGCCUCGUCAGGGGCUGGGUGCUGGGCAGAGGCGGGGGGUGGGGGGGGCGCGGGAGGCAGACCCGCGCGUGAGCCCACGUCCCUUGACUCCGGCGAGUUACCGGACGUUUGUUCCCGGCGGUCCACACUGGCGAGUCAGCUCCGCCACCCAGAGCGGGGCCCAUCUCUCUGCCACUGUCGCCGUCACCUGGAACGCAGUAGGCGCUCCGUGCGGGUCUGCGAGCUGAUGAACGUGACCGGCGCCUCUCUCCCGGCCCUACAGGUGCGCUCCGCCUCCGAUGAUGCAGGCGGGAGGGCGGUUUGGGGUCUGCCUCCUAACCGUCCAGCCGCCUGGCCUGGCCUGGCCUCGCCACCCGCCACCGGCCGCGGGCAUCGGGCGCUGGCCCGGGAAGCCGAGACCCUGCCCGCCUGCGCGCGGGUGUCUCUGCUUUCCUCCCGUGACGCACGUCCUCGCCCUCGCCGCGGGGGAGGCGCGGAGCCCAGGCACCCACCCGGCCCCGGCUGUCACUUCCCCAGAAGGCAUUUCCGGGGAGGCGGCGACAGAGGUCCCAGUCCAACCCCCCCUGAGAAUUCUGGAGACUGGCUUGAUUCCACACUCGCUUCUUCCUGGGGUUUUUCCUUUCGUGUUUUUUUUUUUUUUUUAACCAAAUUCUGUAGCGUAAGAAAUAGCUUACGACAUGACAGCCAUGCAUACGUCCACACGCAGGACACGUCUCCCGAAACGUCUCUCUGACCCCUGAGGAGCUCCAGCAUUUUCGCCCCUAAUCCAGCCUCGCUCAUGAAAAAAGUAUUGGGUGUGAGGCCCUGUGUUUCUUUCAAGACCCACGCUUCUGGUCAAGUCCUGCGUGAUUGAAAAACUCGACUUUUUCUCACGAGAAAGGAAUGAUCUGAGAUAGUCGUGAGUCCCAAAAGAUGGGGAGAAUGUGUGUGUGUGGGGGGGGGGACGGAGGGAUGGGGUUCUAGGAGGCUGGAGAGGCUUCGGGGAAGUUUCCGUGGGACGAGGCAGGUAGCACACAGCUCCGCCGGAGGAUGGGGCCCCACCCCUUGCUCGCUCGCUGCCUGGAGUUAGGGCUUCCAGGCUAAUCCCCUUGGCCGAGGCCAGCCCUGCCCGAGACCACGAGGCUGUGGGGCACCUGCUGGGUCUCAAAGACUCAAUGUGGGGGCGCCUGGGUGGCUCAGUGGGUUGGAUGUUCGACUCUUGAUAUGGCCCAGGUCAUGAUCUCAUAGAGCAUGAG